GACGAACGCUGGCGGCGUGCCUAAUACAUGCCAGUUGAGCGAUGAAGAUUGGUGCUUGCCCCAAUUUGAAGAGCAGCGAACGGGUGAGUAACGCGUGGGGAAUCUGCCUUUGAGCGGGGGACAACAUUUGGAAACGAAUGCUAAUACCGCAUAAUAACUUUAAACAUAAGUUUUAAGUUUGAAAGAUGCAAUUGCAUCACUCAAAGAUGAUCCCGCGUUGUAUUAGCUAGUUGGUGGGGUAAAGGCUCACCAAGGCGAUGAUACAUAGCCGACCUGAGAGGGUGAUCGGCCACAUUGGGACUGAGACACGGCCCAAACUCCUACGGGAGGCAGCAGUAGGGAAUCUUCGGCAAUGGACGAAAGUCUGACCGAGCAACGCCGCGUGAGUGAAGAAGGUUUUCGGAUCGUAAAACUCUGUUGGUAGAGAAGAACGUUGGUGAGAGUGGAAAGCUCAUCAAGUGACGGUAACUACCCAGAAAGGGACGGCUAACUACGUG
rnacentral:rRNA from 1 species